rnacentral:rRNA from 1 species
ACGAACGCUGGCGGCGUGCUUAACACAUGCACGUCGCACGGUGAAGCGCUUUCCUUUUUGGUUGGUGUGGAUGAGUGGCGAACGGGUGAGUAACACGUGAGUAACCUGCCCCCUUCUUCUGGAUAACCGCAUGAAAGUGUGGCUAAUACGGGAUAUUCUGCGCCUGCUGCAUGGUGGGUGUGGGAAAGAUUGUGCCUUUGGGUGUUUUCGGUGGGGGAUGGGCUCGCGGCCUAUCAGCUUGUUGGUGGGGUGAUGGCCUACCAAGGCGGUGACGGGUAGCCGGCCUGAGAGGGUGGACGGUCACACUGGGACUGAGACACGGCGCAGACGCCUACGGGAGGCAGCAGUGGGGAAUAUUGCACAAUGGGCGCAAGCCUGAUGCAGCGACGCCGCGUGAGGGAUGGAGGCCUUCGGGUUGUGAACCUCUUUCGCCAGUGAAGCAGGCCUGCUCCUUGUGGGUGGGUUGACGGUAGCUGGAUAAGAAGCGCCGGCUAACUACGUG